rnacentral:lncRNA from 1 species
AAAUAGUAGUAGCCCUAAAAGUUUCGACUAAUGUAAUUUCAUUAAUGUGAAUAUGUGGUAAGUAAAUAAAUGUUUUUUUUUUUUUUGGGUGAUGAGAAUACUUUAAAAAGAAAAUAAAAAAUAAGAAGUAAGAAAAAUACUAAAGAAAAAGGAAUAAUGACGAAGGAAGGGGAAAGUGGUGACAAAGACAAGUUCCACGCAAGUGAAUUGGUUCAGUCACAUGGGAAUGCUUUCUCGUUUAGGUUACGUGUCGUCUCCCUGUUUUUCCUGCUUCUUUGGACCACACUUCUCCUUCUGCCACGUGUCUUCUCACCUUCUCUCCUUCUCCGGGCCUCUCUCAGUCUCAG